rnacentral:tRNA from 1 species
GGUACUGUACUUUAACCAGAAGAUCUAACUUGCACUUAGAAAGUAGACCCAUUUUUGUCUCAGAACCA